rnacentral:rRNA from 1 species
UACGUAGGGGCCUAGCGUUGUCCGGAUUUAUUGGGCGUAAAGAGCUCGUAGGCGGUUCGGUAAGUCAGGUGUGAAAUCUCCACGCUCAACGUGGAGGAGCCACCUGAUACUGCCGUGACUUGAGUCCGGUAGGGGAGUGUGGAAUUCCCGGUGUAGCGGUGAAAUGCGCAGAUAUCAGGAGGAACACCGGUGGCGAAGGCGGGUCUCUGGGCCUUACCUGACGCUGAGGCGCGAAAGCUAGGGGAGCGAACAGG